UACGAAGGGGGCUAGCGUUGCUCGGAAUCACUGGGCGUAAAGCGCACGUAGGCGGCUUCUUAAGUCAGGGGUGAAAUCCUGGAGCUCAACUCCAGAACUGCCUUUGAUACUGAGGAGCUCGAGUCCGGGAGAGGUGAGUGGAACUCCGAGUGUAGGGGUGAAAUUCGUAGAUAUUCGGAAGAACACCAGUGGCGAAGGCGGCUCACUGGCCCGGUACUGACGCUGAGGUGCGAAAGCGUGGGGAGCAAACAGG
rnacentral:rRNA from 1 species